rnacentral:lncRNA from 1 species
CCAAUUCCAGUGGAAUGGAACCAUGACAUUCCGUUCCACUUCGUUCCCGAACCAAACACACCCUAAAGUGGCCGAGACUUCAAAUGGGUUAUUGCGUAGAUAUCAAAAAGAAAUGGGUUACUGCGUACGUACAGCAUAAGGUAGGUAAUCCUAAGUUCAUGGCAAUUUGGCAAACUAACACGAUGCUACCUGGCGACCUAACAAGUGCUAUUAGAUCAUAGACAUCGUAGGAAUACUGAGGCUACCAAAGACACAAGAUACCAAAUGUCUGGAAACUGUACAUGCAUCGAAACAUAUAAGGCCGUCCAGGGUAUAACAAGGCCAGCGGCAGCAGCUAGCAGAUUACCAAGUCCCAAACUGGUGCCAACUUUCUCCCAUGAUAACAGUAAGCAGAAACAUAACAGGGUCCAUACCAAGAAAAGAAAAAAGGUUUCCAUUCGAUAGUUCUACGGUAGUUUAUGGUUUAUGCAGCAAAAGCACAUAUCCUUCACCAGCCCCCACCGCCAGACCCCCACCCACCUCCGGCAUCCGGUGCUGGGACGGCCUUCUUGGCGCUGCCCCAUCCUGAGUCGUUACCAGCAGCACCAGGAGUAGUAGCUGCUCCCCAGCCUCCGGCGCCACCGUCAGUGGCAGCAGCAGGUGUACCCCAGCCUCCAGCACCACCGUCAGUGGCAGCAGCAGCAGCAGGUGCGNNN